ACCUAGCCCUGAUAAUAGCGGCAUCCUUUUUCUUUUUUUCUUUAAAAAAAGAAAAAGAUAUAGCGAAUAGCAAGACACGAG
rnacentral:sRNA from 1 species